UGCUAGAUGAUGUCGAGUGGCGGACGGGUGAGUAAUGCCUGGGAAUUUGCCUUUGUGUGGGGGAUAACUAUUGGAAACGAUAGCUAAUACCGCAUAAUACCUACGGGUCAAAGGGGGCUUCGGCUCCCGCGCAAAGAGAAGCCCAGGUGAGAUUAGCUUGUUGGUGAGGUAAAGGCUCACCAAGGCGACGAUCUCUAGCUGUUCUGAGAGGAAGAUCAGCCACACUGGAACUGAGACACGGUCCAGACUCC
rnacentral:rRNA from 1 species